GGUCGCGUCCUAUCAGCUUGUUGGCGGGGUGAGGGCCCACCUUUGGCGUUGACGGGUAGCCGGCCUGAGAGGGCGACCGGCCACAUUGGGACUGAGAUACGGCCCAGACUCCUACGGGAGGCAGCAGUGGGGAAUAUUGCACAAUGGGCGCAAGCCUGAUGCAGCGACGCCGCGUGCGGGAUGGAGGCCUUCGGGUUGUAAACCGCUUUUGUUUGGGAGCAAGCCCUUCGGGGUGAGUGUACCUUUCGAAUAAGCACCGGCUAACUACGUGCCAGCAGCCGCGGUAAUACGUAGGGUGCGAGCGUUAUCCGGAAUUAUUGGGCGUAAAGGGCUCGUAGGCGGUUCGUCGCGUCCGGUGUGAAAGUCCAUCGCUUAACGGUGGAUCCGCGUCGGGUACGGGCGGGCUGGAGUGCGGUAGGGGAGACUGGAAUUCCCGGUGUUAACGGUGGA
rnacentral:rRNA from 1 species